rnacentral:rRNA from 1 species
UACGAAGGGGGCUAGCGUUGCUCGGAAUCACUGGGCGUAAAGGGUGCGUAGGCGGGUCUUUAAGUCAGGGGUGAAAUCCUGGAGCUCAACUCCAGAACUGCCUUUGAUACUGAAGAUCUUGAGUUCGGGAGAGGUGAGUGGAACUGCUAGUGUAGAGGUGAAAUUCGUAGGUAUUCGCAAGAACACCAGUGGCGAAGGCGGCUCACUGGCCCGAUACUGACGCUGAGGCACGAAAGCGUGGGGAGCAAACAGG